CUACGGAGGGUGCGAGCGUUAAUCGGAAUUACUGGGCGUAAAGGGUGCGUAGGCGGCUUGAUAAGUCGGAUGUGAAAGCCCCGGGCUUAUCCUGGGAAUUGCAUUCGAUACUGUCAGGCUAGAGUAUGUCAGAGGUUGGCGGAAUUCCUGGUGUAGCGGUGAAAUGCGUAGAUAUCAGGAGGAACACCAGUGGCGAAGGCGGCUAACUGGGACAAUACUGACGCUGAGGCACGAAAGCGUGGGGAGCAAACAGGAUUAGAUACCCUAGUAGUCC
rnacentral:rRNA from 1 species